UCCUACGGGAGGCAGCAGUGAGGAAUAUUGCACAAUGGAGGAAACUCUGAUGCAGCAACGCCGCGUGGAGGAUGACGCAUUUCGGUGUGUAAACUCCUUUUAAGAGGGAAGAUUAUGACGGUACCUCUUGAAUAAGCACCGGCUAACUCCGUGCCAGCAGCCGCGGUAAUA
rnacentral:rRNA from 2 species